CCUACGGGUGGCAGCAGUGGGGAAUAUUGGACAAUGGGGGCAACCCUGAUCCAGCCAUGCCGCGUGUGUGAAGAAGGCCCUCGGGUUGUAAAGCACUUUCAGUGAGGAAGAACGCCUGGUGGUUAAUACCCAUCAGGAAAGACAUCACUCACAGAAGAAGCACCGGCUAACUCCGUGCCAGCAGCCGCGGUAAUACGGAGGGUGCGAGCGUUAAUCGGAAUUACUGGGCGUAAAGCGCGCGUAGGUGGCUUGAUAAGCCGGUUGUGAAAGCCCCGGGCUCAACCUGGUAACGGCAUCCGGAACUGUCAAGCUAGAGUGCAGGAGAGGAAGGUAGAAUUCCCGGUGUAGAGGUGAAAUGCGUAGAGAUCGGGAGGAAUACCAGUGGCGAAGGCGGCCUUCUGGACUGACACUGACACUGAGGUGCGAAAGCGUGGGUAGCAAACAGGAUUAGAUACCCCGGUAGUC
rnacentral:rRNA from 1 species